rfam:Chlorocebus sabaeus isolate 1994-021 chromosome 6, whole genome shotgun sequence.
GCCGGGCGCGGUGGCUCAAGCCUGUAAUCCCAGCACUUUGGGAGGCCGAGACGGGCGGAUCACGAGGUCAGGAGAUCGAGACCAUCCUGGCUAACACGGUGAAACCCCGUCUCUACUAAGAAAUACAAAAAANNNNNNNNNNUUUUUUGUAUUUCUUAGUAGAGACGGGGUUUCACCGUGUUAGCCAGGAUGGUCUCGAUCUCCUGACCUCGUGAUCCGCCCGUCUCGG